rnacentral:rRNA from 1 species
CGUCAAGUCAUCAUGGCCCUUACGAGCAGGGCUACACACGUACUACAAUGGCCGGUACAAAGGGCUGCGAAAGCGCGAGCUGGAGCCAAUCCCAAAAAGCCGGUCGUAGUCCGGAUUGGAGUCUGCAACUCGACUCCAUGAAGUCGGAAUCGCUAGUAAUCGUGGAUCAGAAUGCCACGGUGAAUACGUUCCCGGGUCUU